rnacentral:rRNA from 1 species
CCAGACUCCUACGGGAGGCAGCAGUGGGGAAUAUUGCACAAUGGGGGAAACCCUGAUGCAGCGACGCCGCGUGAGCGAAGAAGUAUUUCGGUAUGUAAAGCUCUAUCAGCAGGGAAGAAAUUGACGGUACCUGAGUAAGAAGCUCCGGCUAAAUACGUGCCAGCAGCCGCGGUAAUACGUAUGGAGCAAGCGUUAUCCGGAUUUACUGGGUGUAAAGGGAGCGUAGGCGGCCUGCCAAGUCUGAUGUGAAAACUCAGGGCUCAACCCUGAGCCUGCAUUUGAAACUGUUUUUCUUGAGUGCUGGAGAGGCAAUCGGAAUUCCGUGUGUAGCGGUGAAAUGCGUAGAUAUACGGAGGAACACCAGUGGCGAAGGCGGAUUGCUGGACAGUAACUGACGCUGAGGCGCGAAAGCGUGGGGAGCAAACAGGAUUAGAUACCCUCGUACG